GUUAUUUCCACACAUGCCAUCUCACCCACCCUAUCCUAUCACCUAACUACACUACCUUCAUUCCAUGUCUCCAUCAGAGACAGUGAUCGACAGUUGUUCUGACAGUCACUCCGACGACUGUUCUGACGAUCACUCCGACACCCGCACCGGUGAUCCCUCCGACAAACUGCUCCAAUGAUCACUCUAACGCUUGUGACUAACUUUGUCUUCGAUAUGAUUAACUGUGAUCAAAUUUGUAUUCGGUGUAACUGUCUGUAACCAGGUCAAUCUCAAGUUACAACCAAUCACAAUCAACACAAAAUUGAUCACAAACAUUCACAACAAACACAUACUUAAUUGCAUAGGGUCACCACAAACAAAUAUGCACACACUACAGACCUAUGAUUAACCUCGACCAACUUUAUCUUUGGUGUGAUUAAGUGUGACCAAGAUUGUAUUCAGUGUGACUGUCUAUGACCAGGUCAAUCUCAAGUUACAACCAGUCACAGAACCAUCACAGCCUACACUAUCACCAACAAUAGAAUCACCACAGAUAAGAAAAUCAUCGACACUGCAAAAUACCAACAAUCAUCCCAAAACUUUGGUUAAAUAAAAGAUCAGAUAAAAAACCACCAAUCACUUAAAAUUUGAUAAAACUAUGCUGGUUCCAUCUCCUUCAUCACCAAAUCCAACACCAAAAUCAUUUUUCUCUCCACCACCACUCAUGAGCUCAUCUCCGUUAAUUACUUACAGCCACCACCACCUAUAAGCUUACCACCGCUUUCAAUAUUCUCGCCACCACCUGUGAAGUUACCUCUACCACCACCAAAGUGAUCUCUAUUACCUCUAGUAAUCUCCCCAUCACCACCCCUCCAUCCAUUGUACCCACCACCUAAAUUUACAUUUGAAACCUUCUGGUUGGACAAGAUAUCGAUCUGUUUGGGGAUAUAGCAGAAAUUUCUAUUAGCUCUGAUAGUGGAGCAAGCAGCGUUGUCGCGAGCAUCAGCUUGCUACUAUUGUGACGUCCGGUGAAGCAAAUCGCCACUGGUUGUAGCAGCAACAUUUUACUGCGACCUAGUUUAAAACUCAUCGUCGUCACGCGCAGUGUUUGUGCAACACCAUCAUCGAAGGCAUUGCUUGCAUCGUGGUGAUGGCGACUAUAACUUGGUUUUAAUCACAGGCAGGUGGUGGUGGGUAUUCUGUAGUGGCACAUAGAGAAUAGGGAGAAAACAAGUUGGGGAUGAAUUGGG
rnacentral:lncRNA from 1 species